rnacentral:ncRNA from 2 species
ACAGACGAUACGGGAGAGCCCAGGCCGCUCGUGAAGAGGGGUUAUGGCGCCGACGGAGCAACCACCCCCGGAAACUCUCAGGCACAAUCACCGUAUCGUUGGA